rnacentral:lncRNA from 1 species
AUGCUUUUGGGCGCCUCAUUCAGUUCCCUCAGCUGUGAAGUUGGCGCUCUUUACUCUGAAAGUUUACAUUCUAUUUUAGGUAGCAGAAAACACAGUUUCAAAGUCCUUUUCUUUUUCUUCUCUUUAACACCAGAAAAUAUUUUAACUAAUUCCCAGCAAGGAGCUUAUGUGUUUGUACACAGGUUUGCUCACACAAUGAAGGACCCAGGGUUUGCCUCUUUGGGGAGUUUGCUGUAGGAAAGCCCUGAUUUUGACUUUAGGCUUAUUUUUUGUUUGUUUGUUUGUUUGGUUGGUUGGUUGGUUGGUUUUUUUUGUUUUUUUGUUUGUUUGUUUGUUUGUUUUGUUUUGUUUUGUUCUGUUUUAGCUGUAAGUAGAAACUAUCGAACUAGGAGCAAGGAGAACAUCCCUGUGUAACAGUAAGACUUAGCUGUGGAAGUCAGCAAACCCUCAAAGCCCAGGCAGGACUCUAGGCCCAUCAGAGGUGAAACACUUCUGGGGCCUAUUUUUGCUAGUUAAUAAAAUUUUAGAAAUUAAUUCUUUUAUUUUUUUUAAGAUUCUAAAAGCAGGUAGAAUGAAAGUUUUUCAGGUAUAUUCAUAUGAUUUUUCUAAAUUUCAUUGAUAUUAGUUGUAAUGUCUUCCUUGUUGCUUCUAACUUUGUUAAUGUGGGUUUUCUCUCUUUUGCUUGGUUUAGUUUGUUUGUUUGUUGUUUUUAAUCUUUUCUUCAUAUCAACUCUGCUUCUUUAAUUCUUUGUGAAAUUUUUUGUUUUGUUUUGGUUUGUUUCAUUAAUUUCUGCCCUGAUCUUAAUUAUUUUUCCCAUAUGUCUUAAUUUUUCUGUUGCUAUGAGGAAACACCAUGACCAAGGCAACUUUUAGAAGAAAGCAUUUAAUUGGGAGCUUGCUUCCAGUUUCAGAAGGUUAGUUCAUUAUCAUCAUUGUGGGGCGCAUGGGGACAGGCAGGCAGGAAAAGUGCUGGCUGGACCAGUAGCUGAGCUCACCUGAUCCACAAGUUACAGGCCAAUGGAGAGUGAGAAACUGGGCCUGGCAUGGGCUUUUGAAACGGUGAAGCCCACCCCCAGUGAUAUGUCUUUUUCCAGCAAGACCACACCUCCUAAUCCUUCUCAAAGAGUUCCAGUAAGGGCUGUUCUCAUUCAGACCACCACAGCAUCUGUUGCUUUGGGGUUUAGCUUGCUCUCAUUUUGCCACAGUCUUAAGGUGUUUUCAUUGAGUUACUAAUUUGAAACCUCUCUGACUUUUUUCCCAUUUGUUUAGUGUGUGUGUGUGUGUUUAGCUAUGUGCAUGCCACCGUGCUCUUGUUUCACCCUGUGAGUUCCAGGCUUUAGAAGCAAGCACCUUUAUCUGCUGAGCCAUCUUGCCAGUCCCUCUCGAAGUUUGUGUGUCGAAGGUUUCUUUUUAUUAUUAUUUUUAAUCAUUUAAAAUUAUGCGUAUAUGGGUGUGUAUAUGCAUGUGAGUGCCAUGCCCAAGAAGCCAGAAGAGAGUGUUGGGCCCCUUGGAGUUGGAGUUACAGAUGGUUAUGAGCUGCCCAAUGCUGGGAAUUGAACUCUGGUCCUCUGUAAGUGCAGCAAGUGCUCUUAACCACUGAGCCACCUCUCCAGUCCCUCUCUCUGCUUUGUAAUGUAGGUGCUUAUAGCUAUAAAUUUGCCUCUUAGGGCAGCUUUCAUUGUAUCCCACAGGUUUUAGUGUGUUGUGUUUUCAUUUUCAAUUUUGCCUAGGGAUUUUUUUUUUAAUUUCCUUCUUGACUUCAUCAGUAAACUGGUCAUCAUUCACUAGCGUGUUAUUUACUUAGUGUUAAUUAGUGUGUUAAUGAGUUUGUAUAUUUUUUUAAGCAUUCUUUUGCUGUUAAUUUCUAGCUUUACUUCACGGUUGUCAGACAGAGCGUGAGAUGUUCUUUCCACUUUCCUGUAUUUGCUAAGGCUUGCUUUGUGUCCUCUUACAUUAUCCGAGAGCUCUGAGGACCACCAGAAGACACGCACUCGGCAGUGUUUGAUGGAAACCUUCUGUAGAUCGCUGUUAACUCCAUUUGAUCUGGUAUCUCAUGUAACUCAGAUGAUUCUCUACUUAGAGAUGGGAAUGAAGUGGUGAAGUUACCCACUUACUGUGCUGGGUCAGUUCGUGACUUUAGCCUGAGUAGAAUUUGUUCUAUGUAUACAUCAAUGUUUAGAAGUUCAAUGUCCUCUUGAUGGAUUGUUCCCUUAAUCCAUAUGAAGUAAACUUCUGUACCUUCUGACUAGUUUUGGGUAGAAGUCUCUCUUGUCAAGUAUUUGAACAAUGAUGCUUACUUGUCUCCUAGAUGCAUUCCUUGCGUCCAUGAUACCGUACCCUUCUACCCCUUCACCUUCAAGGCAGUGUUCCUUUAUCUUUGAUGUCAAAGGGUUUUUUUUUUCCCCUCAAUGACAAUAGGUGGAUCCUGUUUCCUUGUUUUGUUUUUGUUUUUAAAUGCAAUCUGCAGUUCGUGACUUUUGAUUGUGAUCCCAAGACCACUAAUACCCAGAAUUACUUUUGAAAGGCAUUGCUCAAGAAGUAAGUCCAACAGUUGCCAAAUGAGACCUCAUGAAACUAAAAAGCUCUUUGUAUGUCGAAGGAACUAUUAAUUGGGCAAAGAGACAGCAUUCAGAAUGGGAGGGAAAUCUUUGCAAACUAUACAUCUGACAAAAUAUUAGUCUAGACUAUGCAAAGAACUAAAAAAGUAAACAGUAAGAAAUCAAACAAUCCAACAAAUGAACAAGUGGCUCACAAAAAUUGAACUAAAGAUCCAGGGGGUUGGCUGAGGGGCGAAGGUGCUGGGUCACCGAGCUGGACAACCUGAGUUCUAUCCCAGAGCAUACACGACAGACGGAUGAGGAUGGACGGACGGACGAGGACAGACUCCCAAAGGCUGUCUCUGACUUCCACAAGUGGCAAGAAUGCCUCUCACUCUCGGUUGAAUAAAUAAACAAAAAAAGUAAUUGAUUAAAUAAAUGGUAAGAAAACAAUGAAAACGUUCUCCGCUCCACUGGCCAUCAGAGAAGUGUGAGUUAAAGACCUUUGAGUUUGCAUCUCAUCCCUGUCAGAAUAGCAGUCAUUAAAAUAACAAAUAAUGGGGCCUAGUGAGAUGGCUCAGUGGGUAAGAGCACCCUACUGCUCUUCCAAAGGUCCGAAGUUCAAAUCCCAGCAACCACAUGGUGGCUCACAACCAUCUGUAAUGAGAUCUGACUCCCUCUUCUGGAGUGUUUGAAGACAGCUACAGUGUACUUACAUAUAAUAAAAAUAAAAAUAAAUUAAAAAACAAAUAACAUUUAUUCUGAUGGAGUUAGGAAUUUUGCUGUAUCUCUUUGGAAUUUAUUUAGCUGCAAGAGAGCUAACGAAACUGAAUUUAUUAGUUAGUAAUUGCAAUUCCUGUGCCCCCAUACUUUGUAGUCACAUUUUUAAAAAAUUAGAUAUUUUCUUUAUUUACAUUUCAAGUGCUAUCCCGAAAAUUCCUACUUUAAUGAUGACAUAGAAAAGCCAAAAAUUACUAAACACUAAUACUCCACUAAUACUCUAGAUGGUAAUUGUUAAAAUUAUCAUCUUUUAUUUACCUAGUCACUUGAAAACAUGAGUAUCUAAAACCUGGCAGAAGCUAUGUUAUACAACAAGAAUAAAAAUAAAGUUAUACAAUGAACAAUAAAAUCAACAAAAUGAAUCCAGCAAGAUUGGAAGACAAAAGAUCAAUAUAUGAAAGAUUUAUUGAUCGGUUUGGGCAAUGUAUACCUGUGACCCUCCGAAGGCAGGACUUAAGCUUUAAGAGAAUCAUGAGUUUGAGACCAACCUAUGUAUUCAUAAAAAAAAUUAAAUAUAUUCAUUU